GACGAACGCUGGCGGCGUGCUUAACACAUGCAAGUCGAACGAAGAGCGAUGGAAGCUUGCUUCUAUCAAUCUUAGUGGCGAACGGGUGAGUAACGCGUAAUCAACCUGCCCUUCAGAGGGGGACAACAGUUGGAAACGACUGCUAAUACCGCAUACGAUCUGACCUCGGCAUCGAGGAUAGAUGAAAGGUGGCCUCUACAUGUAAGCUAUCACUGAAGGAGGGGAUUGCGGCUGAUUAGCUAGUUGGAGGGGUAACGGCCCACCAAGGCGAUGAUCAGUAGCCGGUCUGAGAGGAUGAACGGCCACAUUGGGACUGAGACACGGCCCAGACUCCUACGGGAGGCAGCAGUGGGGAAUCUUCCGCAAUGGACGAAAGUCUGACGGAGCAACGCCGCGUGAGUGAUGACGGCCUUCGGGUUGUAAAGCUCUGUUAAUCGGGACGAAAGGCCUUUUUGCGAAUAGUGAGAAGGAUUGACGGUACCGGAAUAGAAAGCCACGGCUAACUACGUG
rnacentral:rRNA from 1 species